UGCGUAGGCGGAUCAAUAAGUCAGUGGUGAAAUCUCUCGGCUCAACCGGGAAACUGCCAUUGAUACUGUUGAUCUUGAGUUCGGUUGAGAUAGGCGGAAUGUGUAAUGUAGCGGUGAAAUGCUUAGAUAUUACACAGAACACCAAUUGCGUAGGCAGCUUACUAGACCGACACUGACGCUGAGGCACGAAAGCGUGGGGAGCGAACAGGAUUAGAUACCCUGGUAGUCC
rnacentral:rRNA from 1 species